rnacentral:lncRNA from 1 species
UAAUGGAGCAAAAGUUGCUGUAGUAGUUGUUGGCGAGGUCGCCCUACAUCUGCCUAGUGGAGCUUUUAUUGCAUUAGAUGCAUGUUAUUUUGUUCCUUCUAUUAUCAAAAACAUUAUCUCCAUUUCAUGUUUAACAGUUAGUGGAUAUAAAUUUGUUUUUGAGAACAAUGGUUGUUCGAUAUUAUUAGAUGAUAAGAUCAUCACGAAAGGAAC